rnacentral:rRNA from 1 species
UACGUAGGGGGCAAGCGUUGUCCGGAAUCAUUGGGCGUAAAGAGCGUGUAGGCGGCCCGAUAAGUCCGCCGUGAAAGUCCAGGGCUCAACCCUGGAAUGCCGGUGGAAACUGUCGGGCUGGAGUCCGGAAGAGGCGAGUGGAAUUCCUGGUGUAGCGGUGAAAUGCGCAGAUAUCAGGAGGAACACCGAUGGCGAAGGCAGCUUCCUGGCCCACAACUGACGCUGAGGUGCGAAAGCUAGGGGAGCGAACAGG